AGUUAUUGGAUUUAGGGUUUAGAGUUUAAGAUUUAUGGUUUAGAGUUUUUGGGUUUAGUGUUUAGUGUUUAGGGUUUAGGAUUUAGGGUUCAGAGUUUAGGAUUUAGAGUUUUGGGUUUAAUGUUUAGAAUUUGGGUUUUAAAUUUUAGGGUGUUUGGUUUAGGAUUUAUGGUCUAGAGUUUAGGGUUUAGGAUUUAGGGUUUAGAUUUUAGAUUUUUAAAUUUUAGGAUUUUGCAGAUGGUAUUAACGUUGGUACUGGUUUUUUUAAGCUACUUUUAAAAGA
rnacentral:lncRNA from 1 species